GCCGGGCGUGGUGGCAGGCGCCUGUAGUCCCAGCUACUCGGGAGGCUGAGGCAGGAGAAUGGUGUGAACCUGGGAGGCGGAGCUUGCAGUGAGCAGAGAUUGUGCCACUGCACUCCAACCUGGGCGACAGACUCCGUCUCAAAAAAAAAGAAAAAAAAAAAAAAGAGAGAUGAACUUAUUUAUUAUUAUUUUGAGACAGUUUCACUCUUGUUGCCCAGGUUGGAGUGCAGUGGCAUGAUCUCGGCUCACUGCAACCUCUGCCUCCCAGGUUCAAGCGAUUCUCCUGCCUCA
rnacentral:SRP_RNA from 1 species